GGGACUGUUGUCGAAAGGUAAUAUGGAUCAAGGUAAAAGACCAAAGAAGCCAUCAGGUGCACAGUUUAGAAAAAGAAGAAGAGGAGAAACGGGCAAAGGAUAAAGGGGCAUUUCUGAAAUAUUUUGGAGCUGGAGCACCCACUGUCCAAAAUGAGGAGUCAGAUACUUCCACAGCAGCCACAGACAUGGUCCUGGAGCCAUCUACUGUCUCAGCCUCAUGUUCCUUGCAGGACUCCUCAGAAAUGCCUCAACCUGAAAUACCACCAAAUCCUGUCCCUGAGGAUGAGCUUCUAUCUACCGACCAGGGUUAUAAUAGUUUUGG